AAUUAAACCGUGAGUCCGCUCAGCGUUUACAAAGAGUUUUAUGCUUCUGGGCCCAGAACUGCUGAAAGCACUGCUGGAUUGUGGAUUGAAUGAGAUUGUCAGCAACUGAGUGAGAAUUAAAAACUGAAGAGACACCUGAACACCUCUGACCUCUGAACACGAGCUCGGCCGGGAGUUGGUGGAGAUGAAGGCCAGAACAAACUGUAGUCGGACAUUGCUUGAACGCUGCUGCCAUCUUGACUGCAGUGAAUCCUGAGCUCUUCACAUCCUCCUUCAAAACAUGGGAAGAAGACUACUUAAAGGACAUUGCUUGAAUGCUGCUGCCAUCUUGACUGCAGUGAAUCCUGAGCUCUUCACAUCCUUCUUUAAAACAUGGCAAGAAGACUGCUUAAA